GAUGAACGCUGGCGGCGUGCUUAACACAUGCAAGUCGAACGAAGCACUUUAUUUGAUUUCCUUCGGGACUGAUUAUUUUGUGACUGAGUGGCGGACGGGUGAGUAACGCGUGGGUAACCUGCCUUUUACAGGGGGAUAACAGUUGGCAACGGCUGCUAAUACCGCAUAAGCUCACAGCAUCGCAUGAUGCCGUGUGAAAAACUCCGGUGGUAUAAGAUGGACCCGCGUUGGAUUAGCGAGUUGGUGAGGUACCGGCCCACCAAGGCGACGAUCCAUAGACGAACUGAGAGGGUGACCGGCGACACUGGGACUGGGACACGGCACAAACUCCUACGGGAGGCAGCAGUGGGGAAUAUUGCACAAUGGGCGAAAGCCUGAUGCAGCGACGCCGCGUGAGCGAAGAAGUAUUUCGGUAUGUAAAGCUCUAUCGGCAGGGAGGAUAAUGACGGUACCUGACUAAGAAGCACCGGCUAAAUACGUG
rnacentral:rRNA from 1 species